CCUUACAAAAGUCCCCAAACUGUCAGGAUCUGGAUUACCUCACACGUUCUAGAAAAGAGACAAGAUGAGAAGCAAGCUGUGUGAUCUUACAAUAGCACACACCCCCUGCCCUGGCUUUCCAUGCUCUUCCCUCUCACUCUCUAUAGCCACCAGACUAAACCCUCCAAACCUCGGUAUCAGUUGGGUCCCUUAAUCCCCACGGAGGGAAUAUACUAGGGUAACACCCCUUCAGGAUUUCAUGGCAAAGUCUUUCCAAUCAAAGAAAGGAUCACGAGCGGGGAGAAAGAUACUAAGGUCUGCCUAAGG
rnacentral:lncRNA from 1 species